rnacentral:tRNA from 2 species
GCCGGUGUAGCUCAGUUGGUAGAGCAGUUGAUUUGUAAUCAUCAGGUCGUAGGUUCAAGUCCUAUCACCGGCUCCA